rnacentral:rRNA from 1 species
UACAGAGGGUGCGAGCGUUAAUCGGAAUUACUGGGCGUAAAGCGCACGUAGGCGGCUUGGUAUGUCGGGUGUGAAAUCCCCGGGCUCAACCUGGGAACUGCAUCCGAAACUGCCUUGCUCGAGUAUGGGAGAGGGAAGUGGAAUUUCCGGUGUAGCGGUGAAACGCGUAGAUAUCGGAAGGAACAUCAGUGGCGAAGGCGACUUCCUGGACCAAUACUGACGCUCAGGUGCGAAAGCGUGGGGAGCAAACAGG